UAGAUAAAUGAAUAAAUAACUACACAAGUAACCGAAUAUAUAACUAAAUAAGCCCUCGCGUAAACAACUCAUUCCAUCAUGAACAUAGACAAGUUGCGAAAAGAGUUUUUUAACGAUGAACCAAAUAACAGUACCCAUAUUAAUCAAAAAAAUAAUAAUUUUAAAAAUUUAUUAACAGAUGAUAGUAAUACUACUGGUUGGAAACGCAAAAACAAUAUUAACAUUGGUACUAGUACUACUACUAAUACCACUACUACUAACAUGUGGAAUAGUAAUAACUAUGGGUAUGAUGGCAGUAUUAAUAUAAAUUUAAAACCAAAAUGGUAUAACAACUCUUGUGACUAUAAAAAUAAGAACAACUGUAAAAAUAACAGCACUAAAAAUAAGAAAAAUAAAAAUAUGUAUUUAGUUAAUAGUUUAAAUAAUUUAAAUAACUUAAAUUCGAAAAAUAUAAAAUUUCCAUUAAACAACCCGAGAAUAAGGGAAAAUCCCAAUACUAUUAAACGACUGAAAAAUAUUUAUAAAUUUAAUAAUACAUAUAAUAAUAUAAUAAAUUUUGUUAAAGCUAAUAAAAAUGAUAUGGAAAAAAUUCGAUAUACAUUAUUUUUAAAAGCAUAUGAAAAUUCAGAAUUAUUACAAUUAAAAAAACAAAACAAAAAAGAUAAAUUAACAUUAAAAAAAAACAAUGAAUAUAUUGAUAUAAAAGAUGCUAGAGAAAAACAAAGAUCAAAGUUAUUAAAAGUAUUAAAAUCUUAUAAUAUAAAACAUGAUGUAUCUACUAAUUUAAUCAAUUAUUGUGACUAUUCUAUUUAUUAUCAGGACAAAAGUGUAUUGGAUGAUUUAGCGAAAAAACAAAACUGUAAUAAUUUUUUUUAUUAUCUUGUUAGUAAGGGGUUUUCAUAUAAUGAAAUAUUAAGAUUGUCAAGUGUAUUUGAAAAUAUAGCAUUUUUAAAACAUUGUAAUUUAUGUAUGUUACCUUGGAUUUAUAAAAAAAUAAAUGAAUUUCAUAAUUUUGACUUUUAUACUUUCUUAUUCUAUACACUAGCAUAUUCUGUUUCUACUCUUACCUCUUCUUUUUAUUUAUUUAUUAAGUAUAAAACUAUAGCUAUUAUUAUACCAUUAUUUAUCACUUAUGUUUUAUUAGCCUUUCCUCUUUUAUUACAAGAGCUUAAUUGUGGUAGGUUCUUUUUAGAUGGUUGCAUUUCUUAUUUUUAUUCAAUUUGUAAUUUUAAUUUACCAAUCGCGGUAGCACUAAUUUUACAAUAUUUAUUUUUAAUUAUAAAAUCAAUAGAUACAAUUAAUUUAAACUUUUCUUAUUUUUUUUAUUAUUUUAUGGAUCAAACCCCACUAGUAUAUAAAAAUAUAGACAAAAGAAUUUGCUCCCAAUUUAAUAGAAGCCCACAAAUAUGUGACUUUUCUCGAAACAUAUGUUAUUACAACGAGCAAACUCAAAAUUGCGAG
rnacentral:lncRNA from 1 species